UACGUAGGGGCUAGCGUUAUCCGGAAUUACUGGGCGUAAAGGGUGCGUAGGCGGUCUUUCAAGCCAGAAGUGAAAGGCUACGGCUCAACCGUAGUAAGCUUUUGGAACUGUAAGACUUGAGUGCAGGAGAGGAGAGUGGAAUUCCAUGUGUAGCGGUGAAAUGCGUAGAUAUAUGGAGGAACACCAGUGGCGAAGGCGGCUUUCUGGACUGACCCUGACGCUGAGGUGCGAAAGCGUGGGUAGCAAACAGGAUUAGAUACCCCGGUAGUCCCU
rnacentral:rRNA from 1 species